CGCCGGCCUCGCCGCGCCGGACCCUGGUACCCGCGCUGCCAAGCCGGUCCCCAACCCACGGUCCCUGCCCUUCCUGCGGGCGCCUGGGGCACCCCUGGGGCCCGUUUGUCCUGAAACAGACUCGGGCUGGUGUUUCUGCGGAGCUCUGCGCGCAUCUGAAAUUGUGACUGUGGUGAAACGACAGUCACCUGCCCUGGGGGGCGUAUGGGCAGGGCUGGGGGCGACAGACUGGCCACCGGCAUUGCGGAGCAGGGCCGCAGGGGCUGGGGCGAGGACAGCGGGGCGCGAUGGGAUCGAAAGCGAUGGGAUCGAAAGCCCCGCGCCCGAGGGCGGCCCCUAAAACUUGCCAAGGGAAGCGGAGUCUGGGCCCGGCGCGCCCCAGGACCAGUGGGGAAGAUUGGGGCACGCGACGCUGGGGACUCCGCGUGCGCGGAUCUCCGUGGGUGGAUCCACCGAGAAGAAUCGAUGGAGGUUCAAGGUGGUAGGGAAAGUGGGCAAGGAGACCGACGGAGAGCAGCCGGAGACGCAGGGGGGACUCCAUCCAAAGGGAGCAGCUCGGGCAUAUUUUGAUGCUGUUGGGAUGGUGCAGCUAGAGGGAGUGGAUGACAACUGGCCUGUCAGACGGGACAGAAAGGGAUGGAAGCUGCAUGGAGAGAGAAGGCUUGGGUUCCUCUUCUAUCCCAAACCAAGGGAAGGAGGGGCAGGUGGGAAUGGAGGAAGUUUGCAUGUUGGGGCAUGCAGUUAAGUGUCUGAUAGUUUGAACUAGAGUGGUGGGCUGAGAGUGCUGGGCAGGCUCAGGGAAGGGUGGAAGUCCUGAUCUACACUGCGGCCAUAGGACACAGUGACCUCUUUGCCAACAGCCCCUGGAAGCCCAGGAAAGGUGGGCCGUUGGGUUUAUCGAGGGCAGGAUGACAACAUCCAACCUGCCUUGCCCACUUGGGAGGCUCAGAUUAAGUUGACAGAUGUAAAAAUACUCUGUGUAAUUUACCAUUUUCCUCUUCUUCCCCGAUUUUGAGGAGUCAAGGGGCUAUGGCCAUAAUAUGAGUAAAAUGUCAAAGCCUUCUGAGCACAUCACUUGGACCAUGAACUGUGUUCUACUCUCACCACCAGCUCAUUCACUCAUCAUGAACAGUUGGGUGAAGCAGUAUCACUAUCCCCAUUUUUAUAGAUGCAGAAACUAAGGUUCGGGGAAGUAAAGCCCUUGUGUAAGGACUCUUAGCUAGUAAGUGGUAGAUCCAGGAUCCCAACUCAGGUCUGUCUGACCUCAAAGCCCCCGACUGGAAAUCACUUUGAAUAAGUGCAGAACCCCAGUGGCAACUCAGUGGAAUAGACAGAUGUGCAAGGGUCAUCUUUUCCAUUGAUCAGCGAGGGGAGCUCGGCUUGGAGGCUCUACCCAGUUGCCUUGCUUAUGACUCUUCUGUGGCUGAAGAACUCAGACCCUGGAGACCCACAGCCCUGGUGCGAAUCCCACUCCACCACUAGAGUCUCUGUGACUCCAGACCAAGCAUCUUGCUUCUCUGAAUCUGUGUGUGACUGCAGAGGCAUUCCCAGCAGGUUGUUGUAUGGAUUGGAGGGAGCAGACUGCCCAGCACACAGUGGACGCCAGGAGCACGGUUCCCACGGUCCACUUUUCCUGCAAAUGUGUCUACAUUGGCUACUGAGCCCCACUCCCUAAGAUCUUUAUUU
ensembl:lincRNA